AUAUGUCGGUGUUAAGAAGGCAUUACUAAAUUUUAAAUUUAUUGAAAAUGCAACUCUGUUUGUAAUGCACCGGCUGAUGCAAUUUUCCUUCUCCCACUCACGCGAAUUCGAAUAGAAGAGAGAAAAUGCUAAGCAAGGAAAACAAAACACAAUGAAAAUAACAACAAAAUGCAAAAGAAAUCGCGCAAAUGCGAAGAUACACAAAAGCGGACAAGAUACAAGCCAAGCGAAAGCACCAUGGUCAAUUUAGUUACUCUUCGAUUUUCGAACAGUGCGGUAAAAACUUAAAUUCGUUUAAAACUUCUAUUCGUGCGUUUUUUGUGUGAAGAUUCAACGAAACGAAAGUGACAACGCAAGUUUGGUCAGCGGCCAGCAAUUUUUGUAUGAGAACGCGCUGAUCGACGAAGUGCUACGAAUUUGGUGCAGCAAUACUUCAUAAAUAUAAAUUGCAAAAACCAAAGAGUAUAAAA
rnacentral:lncRNA from 1 species